AAUUCGAAGCAACGACGAAGACCUUACCAGGUCUUGACAUCCCGAUGCUAUUUCUAGAGAUAGAAGUUAUUCGGUACAUCGGUGACAGGUGGUGCAUGGUUGUCGUCAGCUCGUGUCGUGAGAUGUUGGGUUAAGUCCCGCAACGAGCGCAACCCCUAUUGUUAGUUGCCAUCAUUCAGUUGGGCACUCUAGCGAGACUGCCGGUAAUAAACCGGAGGAAGGUGGGGAUGACGUCAAAUCAUCAUGCCCCUUAUGACCUGGGCUACACACGUGCUACAAUGGUUGGUACAACGAGUUGCGAGUCGGUGACGGCGAGCUAAUCUCUUAAAGCCAAUCUCAGUUCGGAUUGUAGGCUGCAACUCGCCUACAUGAAGUCGGAAUCGCUAGUAAUCGCGGAUCAGCACGCCCGCGGUCGAAUACGUUCCGGGCCUU
rnacentral:rRNA from 1 species